GGACGCGUAUUAUUGGGCUGUACAUUCCUGGGUUGAGCAUUCUCGGGCCGCGCAAUAUUGGUCCGGGGCGAUAAUACGAAGCCACUCUUUUCACAGGGCAAUAAUGUACGACCCCAUAAUUCGCGUCCAAUAAUUUGAGUCCCUUGGCUUUCAAUUAUUGGGCUGCGCAUUAUUGGUACAGGUCGAGAAAGCCCGACCCAAUAAUGUACGACCCAAUAAUAGGAAGCCAAAAACCAGAGAGAUUCUUUUUUUUAAGGGAGCUGUCAAAAUUAGUAGGGACGUUCUGACAUUAGCUCUUGACAAUUUAAAAAUAAUCGGUUUUUUCUAGUGCCAUCUUUCAGUGACAUUGACAGUAUUGUAUUGACACUUGUUGGUUUACAAAUACAAUAAAAUGAAUUCUAAUAAAAGAAACAGUAGACUCAGUAGAGGUACGAGGUACUGAAAAAAUAUUAAUUAAUGGAGAAGCCGAAGUUGGAGGAAAACAAGAAGAUUCGAGGAGAAUGGUGUGGCACUUAAUGCCGCCGGGACAGUAACCUAGCUGCAGCUCCAACUCUAGGGAAUUGGGCUGAAUGAACGCAACACGUGAUCGACAGCCCACCUGCUUCCUGCCGAGCGUCCCUACACUACAUCUACAUGGAUUCGCUUAUUCUGCUGUACAAAACUUCUGAGCUGAUACAAGCAGCCAGAAUGAGUCUCUGCUGAGUCGCCGGCGCCGGACGUGCGUCGCGCGCCUCGGGCGACUGACGUCUUCGUGUGAGUCGCCAAUUGCAGGGGAAGAUACGAAUAGUUAGGUAUAAAAGCUACUUUAGUCAACCUCGCCUCAGUACUGUUUGUAUUGACUGAAAUACAAGUAGCAUAUAUGAGACGUUCGGACGUAUCCGUGAAAAUACGAAGGUAAAGGAAAUUGCACUACAUUUUUAGAACCUAUUCACCUGUCAGUAAAAUAUUGAAAAGGAAAGUUCAUGAGUUUUAUUAUUUUCUUUCCUCCAACAGCUUCACAUGGAGCAAAUGUAAACCUUUUAUGUUAAUAAUAUCAGUAAUGUCAAGGUACAACGCUCUUUAGAGCAUAUUGCCAUUCCUUUUACUCGAGUGGCCUGUGGGUUAACUAUACGAAGCGAGCCUACGAUGCAUUAAAAGUGCAGUAUAACAAUGCAUUCAGAAUGCUGUUGGGCUUACCUCGUAGAUGUAGUGCAUCUGGCAUGUUUUGCGAAGCUAGAAGUUUUCUGGCAAUCAUGCGCAAGAAAAUAGUAUCUCUGCUAGGUCGAGUUAGAAGCAGUCCCAAACAUACAUGUUCGAAAAGUAGAACUCCCUUAGUAGGCCAAGCAAUAAGAAGUUAUAGAGGGAAAUGCUAGGAACACAAUUUUUGACUACGUAACUUUGUUUGGACUAGUUAGGAGGUGAACAUAUCAAAAGUCCCCGGCUGUAGCCCCGGUGCUGGGGGGUAGACUAGUUAUAGUCCAAACAAAGUUACGGAGUCAAAAACUGUGUUCCUAGCAUUUCCCUCUACAACGUUUUUUGAGCAUUCAUUUCCUGACCUAUAGAUCGUGUUUCAAUUUAUCGCCUCUCGUUGGCAAUUAAGGUGGUUCGCUUUCCAUACAAAAAAAACAAUUACAUAAGUACCUAAUAGUGUGUAAUUACUUAAUAUAACGCAAUUGUUUUUUGUAUGGAAAGCGAACCACCUUAACUAUUCGCACAACGUUUUGUAGUUGCAGUAAGUACUUACAUAUGGCCGGUUAAAUUUUCGAAAUAGGUAUGUAUUUACGUACAGUGCUAAUUGCCGCACAUAGAAUAAUUAAAGUUUGAUCAAUCGGAAUAUGUUCCUAAGUCACUUAUUACAUUUCGAAUUAUAAGUCUGUAUUUUACAGCUUUAGAUGUGCAUGACUGCAUAUGCACAUCUAAAGCUGAAAAAUGCUUUCAUGAAAUUAUGGCUAAAUUAUGUUAAUAGGGACAAAUGUAUCAUUUUCAACCAAAUGGGUUCUUAUUAUCUGUUGUCAAUAAGGCGCUAUUUCCAUAAAGCUUCAAUUUGAAAUCAGCCUCGUCGACAACCGACAAUGUUAACCUUUUGGUUGAAAACGUCACAAAUUAUGGCGAUAGAGAAUACAAUGUUCUGUUGCCAGAGUGCAGCACUAGUAAAACCCGUAAACGAGUGAAUUGCAAAAAAGUGUAGGUAACACAAUGGAAUAUUCACAAAAAUAUGAAAGAAUGUAACACAAAAUGAAGAAAAUGUAUGUGUUUUUUUUGUGUUACGUCACACAAAGGACGCCAAAAUCGACGCCGCAAUAUUUUUCACGACGUGUAGAAUAAAAGUGGCGUCGAAUUCAGGAAUCCGCAAAUACUAUGGUAGCCGAUAGCCAAGUAAUUUAUCAAUAGAACAAUGUUAAAACAGUAGUAGAAACGGUGAGCUUUGCAAACUUUUAGUAGAUUGGUUUGGUUUUGGUAGAUUUCUCGGUUUGGCAUGCUUGAUGCUCUUCACAUCACCACAGACGGAGGUCGACAGUUCGAAUCUGUCUUGUUCAACCAAUUGAUGGAGGCACAUGCACGCAUACGAAGUAUACGAACCACAUAUUACACUACCAUCCUGGAGCUAAUUGGAUUAUUUGCAUCUACUAUUAUAGUAUAUACCUAUGCCUUAUUUUUACGCCUAAGACCCUAAGCUUUUAACAAAAACCAUUAUUUCUUUUAUACCUACGGGCGGUUUAGCUCCCGUACCUACCUCUAUUAUACCUAGCCACGUGCUAAAGCAACAAUGUCCUUUAAAUCCGUAUCCCGUAUCGUGAUAGUAUUAAGAUUCAACUCGUCUACAUCGAGGUGGUCGAUCGUCCUAAAUACAUUACCAAAACAUGUUAACUCGUAUGAGCCGUUACAUAGAUUUGAACCUUAAUACUAUCAUGAUAAUUAUUGAUUAAUAUUUUUAAAUAAUUUGUUAAGCAUA